rnacentral:tRNA from 1 species
CGGGAUAUGGCGCAGUUUGGUAGCGCACCUGACUGGGGGUCAGGGGGCCGUCGGUUCGAAUCCGGCUAUCCCGA